rnacentral:rRNA from 1 species
UGACAGAUUGAGAGCUCUUUCUUGAUUCUAUGGGGGGUGGUGCAUGGCCGUUCUUAGUUGGUGGAGAGAUUUGUCUGGUUAAUUCCGUUAACGAACGAGACCUUAACCUGCUAAAUAGUUACACGUAACCUCGGUUACGUGGGCAACUUCUUAGAGGGACUUUGCGUGUCUAACGCAAGGAAGUUUGAGGCAAUAACAGGUCUGUGAUGCCCUUAGAUGUUCUGAACCGCACGCGUGUUACACUGAUGCAUUCAACGAGCUAUUAACCUUGGCCGAGAGGCCUGGGAAAUCUUGGAACGUGCAUCGUGAUAGGGAUUGAUUAUUGUAAUUUUUAAUCAUGAACGAGGAAUUCCUAGUAAACGCAGAUCAUCAA